rnacentral:rRNA from 1 species
UACGAAGGGGGCUAGCGUUGCUCGGAAUUACUGGGCGUAAAGGGCGCGUAGGCGGCUCAGCCAGUCAGGCGUGAAAUUCCUGGGCUUAACCUAGGGACUGCGCUUGAUACUGCUGGGCUUGAGGUCGAGAGAGGGUGGUGGAAUUCCCCAAGUAGAGGUGAAAUUCGUAGAUAUGGGGAGGAACACCGGUGGCGAAGGCGGCCACCUGGACGGUAACUGACGCUGAGACGCGAAAGCGUGGGGAGCAAACAGG